AAAAAGACAAACCCUGGGUUUCCAUGUCCAACGUUUGACUGUCCGUCUUAUAUGAUUUUUUUUAUAAUUAGUAUUUCAUUAUUGUUAGAUGAUAAAACAUGAUUAAUACUUUAUGCGUGACUUAUCUUUUUAAUUAUUUUUAUAAUUUUUUUAAAUAAGACGGAUGGUCAAACGUUGGACACGGAAACCCAGGGUUUGUCUUUUU
rnacentral:pre_miRNA from 1 species